rnacentral:rRNA from 1 species
AAACUCUCAUACGGACAGACUUGGCAGAGUCUAAUUCAUCACUCCCCCCUGAAUUUCAGGUGUGAGGCUCUCCUGUCUCCAAUCUAAUGAUGCCACUUCCAUCCGUAAGCUCCCAUCUGGUAAAACGACUGUAAAUGUAGCAUUGCUCCAUCAUUGGCAGUCUCCACCACCUCGUCGGCACCAAACUGCCGCCCCACCGCGCAUUCCUUCGCCUGGCACGCCGGCACGGCCCACUCAGGCUGCUGAGGCUCGGCGAAGUGCCCAGGAUCAUUGUGUCCACCCCUGAGGCAGCGAUGGAGGUGUUCAAGACGAGUGACCUCACCUUCGCGACCCGCCCGAGCGGUCCCACGCUGGACAUCGUCAGCUGCGGGGGCAAAGGCUUGGCCUUCGCGCCCUAUGGCGACCACUGGCGGCAGAUGCGCAAGCUCUGCGUCAUGGAGCUGCUCAGCACACGGCAGGUGCGCCGGAUGGACUCCAUCAAGCAAGCCGAGGUCACACACCUCAUGGAGUCGGUGGCUACCGCGUCUUCUGCCUCGGCGUCCGCCAUCAUCGACAUUGGCAAGGAGCUGGCCAGGCUGACAAACAACAUCAUCGCCAGGGCGGCGUUUGGCGGCAAGUGUCGGCAGCAGGAGGCGUACCUCCGAGAGCUCGCCGUGUUGGCUUCGCUCGUGGGAGGGAUCAGCCUGGUGGAACUCUACCCGUCGUCGCGGCUGGUGCGGUGGCUGACGGGUGAUUCCCGCGACCUGAGGAGGAGCCACGCCCGGAUACAACGAAUCCUGGCAGAUAUCAUCCAAGAGCGCAAGGAGAAGAAACAAAAUAAUGCCUCGGCUACUGCUACCGCUACUGGUACUCCUACUCCUACACCUAAAGAGGACGAAGACCUGCUGGACGUGCGGCAAAAAAUCGCCCCCUGGGAACGCACCGGCGCUAAACCGCGCACUGGGGGCGUGAUGUCACCCAAUCGCGGCGCCCACGUUUUAAAAAAAAAGUCUAAUACGGCGCAAACACGACUCAAAUUUAACGCAAACAUCGGCGAGUUCGUUCAAAUUUAAACAUACUUUAUAAAAAAAGGGAAAAACUACCGCGGGCUACCCCGCCGUCUCCCUCGCCGCCCGCCUCGCCGCCCGCCCACGCGGUUCUACAUGCCGAGGAGGCGGUAGAACCGCGUGUAGUCACCGCCGUAGUCGUCGUCGCCGUCCCCGCCGACGCCUCCGCCGUCCCUGCUGCAUCCCUCCCCCGGUUGGCGCGGCGGGUUGGACGGUCCGGGGGCGUCGUCGUCGUCGUCGCUGUCGAGGACCACGACGCCGUGCUCGUCCUCGCGCCCACGCUUGCGGGCGGCCAUCUCCUCCAGGGCCGGCGCUGCCGGACCAUCUCGUCGCAGAGGUAGUCGUUUCCACGCCCACCGCAGGACGUCCUCGUCGGAGAAGCCACGCCGGGCUACCUGCUCGUACUCCGCGGGGAGGCCGGGCUCCGGCUUGAGCUCGACGAGGACGAAGCGGCCGGUGGGGGAGGCGUUGUCGCCGAUGCGGACGCCGGAGCGGCGGGUGCGCGCGCUGACAGGCGCGCCCUGGGGCUCUGGCUUGACGGGGCGGAGGUGGAGGCAGGGGGAGCCGCCGGACGAGGAGGAGGACCCCCCGGUCUCCAUGCGCCUCGGGGUCCAGGAGCUUCCCCGACGGCGUGUGAACGACGGGGGAGCGGGGUACUUGAGGCGCGGCGUGUUGCCGCCCUUGAUGUACUCGAGGACGGCCUCCAACGUGCGCCCGGGCACGCCCCACCACCGACGCUGGCCGACAGCGUUGAGCCUGCCGGAGGGCUCGACGCCGUUGGUGGCCUCGAGCUGCUCGGCGUGACGGCGGCGGAAGUAGGGCUCCCACAGCGGGCUGUCGGGGACGUACCGUGGCCCCUCCCUCGCCGCACGCGGCAGGGACGAGCGGAUGCGUGCGAUCUUCGCACGUCGCGCCGCGCCGGUGGGUAUAGGGGGCACCGGCACGCUGCCGGCGCUGAUCCUCCACGCCCCGGGCAGCCGCAUGUCCGGCGGGACCGGGUACUCGGCCUCGAAAAGGAGGCGAGCCUCGCUCUCGUGAAGAUGGCGUCGGCCGAAGCCGUUCGCCGCCGUGCCGUUGCCUGGGAAGCGCUCGGCCAUGGGUGCUGGAGACGGCGAGAGAGAGGAGAGGGAGGAACGACGACGGCGAGAGAGAGGAGAGGGAGGAACGACGACGGCGAGAGAGUGCGAGUCGCUGAGUGCGCUGGGGCGCGUCUUAUAUAGGCCGAGGCGCCGCCCAUGCGCGAGCCGCCGUGAGUACGCGUGGCGGGCGAGGGAGGGCAAGGGAUGCGCGUCAUCCGGUCUUCACUGCGCCGCCCAUGAGGCAUCAAUGGCGCAGGCUGACCGGCGCGGCAGCGCGGCAGCUUUGGCAUUGAUUCGCCGCGGGAAACGAGGCGAUGAGGACGGCGAAGGGGCGAGAAGAGGGUAGAGUCGCUGACGCGGCGGGCCCGCGGCUAUUUCGCGCCAAAACAGUUCGCCCCGGCGCCCCCGGGCACCCCCCAGUGCGUCGGGUUCGGCCUGGAUCCGCCAGCGCUGUUUUCCGCCCAAGCCGGCGAAAAUCGGGCUCCUAGAAACGCGACUAGGCUGAUUUUUCGGCGCCGGCGCAAAAAAAAACACCUGGGGAGGCGUUCCUGGGGGCGCGGCUGGAGAUGCCUGCACGACGAAGACACUCUCAGUUUCCCUUUGACGUCGGAGAUCAUCGGGGCCGUCAUCUUUGAAAUAUUUGGAGCUGCUACGGACACUACAUCUUCCACCCUAGAAUGGGCUAUGGCAGAACUCAUCCGCAACCCACACGUAAUGGCAAGGGCCAAACUCGAACUCCAGUAGAUGCUCGGACACCACCGCAGGUCCACCAUCACCAGCGCAGACCUCGGCGACCUGCACUAUCUUCGGAUGGUCAUCAAGGAGACGCUAAGGUUGCACCCCUCUGUGUCACUGAUACACAGGGCGGCCAUGGAGGAUUGCCAAGUGAUGGGCUACCACAUACCCAAGGGCACCUCCGUCAUGAUAAACGCCUUCGCGGUUGGCACGGACCCGACACACUGGGGUGAGGAUGCCGCGGAGUUCAGGCUGGAGAGGUUUGAGGAGAUGAGUGUGGAGUACUUCAAGCAAGGGCCACAGAUGGAGUUCAUCCCGUUCGGAGCUGGUCGUAGGCAGUGCCCUGGAGCCUUGUUCGUGAGCACGACGAUGGAGCUUGUGCUGGCAAACCUCCUGUACCACUUUGACUGGGCGAUUCCGUGUGGGGCGGGCCCAGAGACACUGGACAUGGGCGAGGUGUUUGGGAUCGUCCAUCGUCGUGCAAACUAGGUCCAGCCUGCGCCUGCAGGCAGUAGCAUCUUGUCAUGUACAAGAUCAUUAGUGCACCACAAGCUUUACUAGUUUUGCAAGCAAGUUGUAGUAACAAACGGAGAGCUCAUUACCAAACCGUUAUUAAGUCAACAUAAUGUACUUUCUAAGACGGCCAUCACCAAACCGUUAUUAAGUCAACAUAAACGUCUGGAUUGCAUGGUUUCCUUUACCGUGGACAAACCAAACAAACUAGGAAAGAACUCAUAACACCUCUUGAAACUGUGUAAUCUGAUUACCGAUACCAUUCCUGUAACCAAACACCUCCUAAGUCCAUCACAACGUUCUUGUUGCCAGCGAUAUUGCUGAACCUACUGCUUAAUAAAGUUCUGUUUACUUGAAAAAAAACAUUGGCGGGCCACGGGCGAGCUGCCGGACAGGAAAGUCAUCGCUGCAGUUGGCACAGCAUCUCCACCCAGACCCUCGAAUACACUUGUGACAGCUGACCAGCAGCUUGCCUGUGAGAUUUCGGGCCAAAUGAUGGAGCCCUUCUUGUAAAUUUCAGUAUGUCUGAUGCUUUGGUAAUUGCUCCGACCCUAGUUAUUACAGGGAGCAAAUAUUAAGGGGGUGUUAUGGAGCAACGUAUCUAUAUCGCAUAGCCCAUGGGGCAUAUAUAGUACUCCGUCUGAUUUUAU